UACGAAGGGGGCUAGCGUUGCUCGGAAUCACUGGGCGUAAAGGGUGCGUAGGCGGGUCUUUUAAGUCAGGGGUGAAAUCCUGGAGCUCAACUCCAGAACUGCCUUUGAUACUGAGAGCUUGAGUCCGGGAGAGGUGAGUGGAACUGCGAGUGUAGAGGUGAAAUUCGUAGAUAUUCGGAAGAACACCAGUGGCGAAGGCGGCUCACUGGCCCGGUACUGACGCUGAGGUGCGAAAGCGUGGGGAGCAAACAGG
rnacentral:rRNA from 1 species